rnacentral:rRNA from 1 species
GAUGAACGCUGGCGGCAGGCUUAAUACAUGCAAGUCGAGGGGGCAGCGGGGGGUAGCAAUACCUGCCGGCGACCGGCAAACGGGUGCGGAACACGUACAGAACCUUCCUUUAAGCGGGGGAUAGCCCGGAGAAAUCCGGAUUAAUACCCCAUAGUAAUGUUGGUUGGCAUCAAUUGACAUUUAAAAGAUUGAUCACUUAAAGAUGGCUGUGCGGCUGAUUAGGUAGUUGGUUGAGGUAAAGGCUCACCAAGCCAGCGAUCAGUAACUGGUGUGAGAGCACGACCAGUCACACGGGCACUGAGACA